GUCUACGGCCAUACCACCCUGAACGCGCCCGAUCUCGUCUGAUCUCGGAAGCUAAGCAGGGUCGGGCCUGGUUAGUACUUGGAUGGGAGAAUAUAUUUCUUAUAUAUA
rnacentral:rRNA from 1 species